CCUACGGGGGGCAGCAGUGAGGAAUAUUGGUCAAUGGACGAGAGUCUGAACCAGCCAAGUAGCGUGAAGGAUGACUGCCCUAUGGGUUGUAAACUUCUUUUAUAUGGGAAUAAAAUGUUCCACGUGUGGGAUUUUGUAUGUACCAUAUGAAUAAGGAUCGGCUAACUCCGUGCCAGCAGCCGCGGUAAUACGGAGGAUCCGAGCGUUAUCCGGAUUUAUUGGGUUUAAAGGGAGCGUAGGUGGAUUGUUAAGUCAGUUGUGAAAGUUUGCGGCUCAACUGUAAAAUUGCAGUUGAAACUGGCAGUCUUGAGUACAGUAGAGGUGGGCGGAAUUCGUGGUGUAGCGGUGAAAUGCUUAGAUAUCACGAAGAACUCCGAUUGCGAAGGCAGUUCACUGGACUGCAACUGACACUGAGGCUCGAAAGUGUGGGUAUCAAACAGGAUUAGAUACCCGAGUAGUC
rnacentral:rRNA from 1 species